GGGUUGGAGGCGGGACGAGUUAUCUGAGCUUCGGGGAACGAUAACGGCGUCGAGCGGCGGACGGGUGAGUAAUGCCUAGGAAAUUGCCCUGAUGUGGGGGAUAACCAUUGGAAACGAUGGCUAAUACCGCAUGAUGCCUACGGGCCAAAGAGGGGGACCUUCGGGCCUCUCGCGUCAGGAUAUGCCUAGGUGGGAUUAGCUAGUUGGUGAGGUAAGGGCUCACCAAGGCGACGAUCCCUAGCUGGUCUGAGAGGAUGAUCAGCCACACUGGAACUGAGACACGGUCCAGACUCCUACGGGAGGCAGCAGUGGGGAAUAUUGCACAAUGGGCGCAAGCCUGAUGCAGCCAUGCCGCGUGUGUGAAGAAGGCCUUCGGGUUGUAAAGCACUUUCAGUCGUGAGGAAGGUAGUGUAGUUAAUAGCUGCAUUAUUUGACGUUAGCGACAGAAGAAGCACCGGCUAACUCCGUGCCAGCAGCCGCGGUAAUACGGAGGGUGCGAGCGUUAAUCGGAAUUACUGGGCGUAAAGCGCAUGCAGGUGGUUUGUUAAGUCAGAUGUGAAAGCCCGGGGCUCAACCUCGGAAUUGCAUUUGAAACUGGCAGACUAGAGUACUGUAGAGGGGGGUAGAAUUUCAGGUGUAGCGGUGAAAUGCGUAGAGAUCUGAAGGAAUACCGGUGGCGAAGGCGGCCCCCUGGACAGAUACUGACACUCAGAUGCGAAAGCGUGGGGAGCAAACAGGAUUAGAUACCCUGGUAGUCCACGCCGUAAACGAUGUCUACUUGGAGGUUGUGGCCUUGAGCCGUGGCUUUCAGAGCUAACGCGUUAAGUAGACCGCCUGGGGAGUACGGUCGCAAGAUUAAAACUCAAAUGAAUUGACGGGGGGCCCGCACAAGCGGUGGAGCAUGUGGUUUAAUUCGAUGCAACGCGAAGAACCUUACCUACUCUUGACAUCCAGAGAACUUUCCAGAGAUGGAUUGGUGCCUUCGGGAACUCUGAGACAGUGCUGCAUGGCUGUCGUCAGCUCGUGUUGUGAAAUGUUGGGUUAAGCUCCUGCAACGAGCGCAACCCUUAUCCUUUGUUUGCCAGCGAGUACUGUCGGGAACUCCAGGGAGACUGCCGGUGAUAACCGGAGGAUGUGGACUACGUCAGUCAUCAUGGCCUUUACGAGUAGGGCCUACACACGUGCUACAUGGCUGCAUACGAGGGCCAGCUAACUUGGCGAAAGUGAGCGAUUCCGAUGGGGUGCGUCAAGUUCCGAAUUGAGUUGCAACUCGAACUCCAUGGAGUCGGAUUCGCUUAUAUUCGGGA
rnacentral:rRNA from 1 species